rfam:Dipodomys ordii contig_33249, whole genome shotgun sequence.
GGGAUGGUGGCUCAGUGGUAGAGUGCUUGUCUUGCAUGCAUGAGGGCCUGGGUUCGAUUCCUUACCACCA